AGCGAACGCUGGCGGCAGGCCUAACACAUGCAAGUCGAACGAACUCUUCGGAGUUAGUGGCGGACGGGUGAGUAACACGUGGGAUCGUGCCUUUUGGUUCGGAAUAACUCAGGGAAACUUGUGCUAAUACCGAAUGUGCCCUUCGGGGGAAAGAUUUAUCGCCAUUAGAGCGGCCCGCGUCUGAUUAGCUAGUUGGUGAGGUAACGGCUCACCAAGGCGACGAUCAGUAGCUGGUCUGAGAGGAUGACCAGCCACACUGGGACUGAGACACGGCCCAGACUCCUACGGGAGGCAGCAGUGGGGAAUCUUGCGCAAUGGGCGAAAGCCUGACGCAGCCAUGCCGCGUGAAUGAUGAAGGUCUUAGGAUUGUAAAAUUCUUUCACCGGGGACGAUAAUGACGGUACCCGGAGAAGAAGCCCCGGCUAACUUCGUG
rnacentral:rRNA from 1 species